CCUUAAAGAACCUGCCUUUGUAGUGCUCACACAGAUUGUCUGAUGAAAGUAAAGAAGCAAGGCGUCUUGCGAUUGAGACUUCAGUGUCCCCUUCGUCUAGAGGCCCAGGACACCGCCCUUUCACGGCGGUAACAGGGGUUCGAAUCCCCUAGGGGACGCCACUUGCUGGUUCGUGAGUGAAAGACGCGCGCCGACAUAUCUCAAAACUCAUCUUCGGGUGACGUUUGAGAUAUUUGCUCUUUAAAAAUCUGGAUCAAGCUGAAAAUUGAAACGACACACUGUUUAAGUGUGUUCGAGUCUCUCAAAUUUUCGCAAUCUGAAGACAUCUUCGGGUUGUGA
rnacentral:misc_RNA from 1 species